AGCGAACGCUUUCUUCCGGCCUAACACAUGCAAGUCGAACGAACCUUUCGGGGUUAGUGGCGGACGGGUGAGUAACACGUGGGAACGUGCCUUUAGGUUCGGAAUAACUCAGGGAAACUUGUGCUAAUACCGAAUGUGCCCUUCGGGGGAAAGAUUAAUCGCCUUUAGAGCGGCCCGCGUCUGAUUAGCUAGUUGGUUGAGGUAAUGGCUCACCAAGGCGACGAUCAGUAGCUGGUCUGAGAGGAUGAUCAGCCACAUUGGGACUGAGACACGGCCCAAACUCCUACGGGAGGCAGCAGUGGGGAAUCUUGCGCAAUGGGCGAAAGCCUGACGCAGCCAUGCCGCGUGAAUGAUGAAGGUCUUAGGAUUGUAAAAUUCUUUCACCGGGGACGAUAAUGACGGUACCCGGAGAAGAAGCCCCGGCUAACUUCGUG
rnacentral:rRNA from 1 species